UACAGAGGUCUCAAGCGUUGUUCGGAUUCAUUGGGCGUAAAGGGUGCGUAGGCGGCGCGGUAAGUCGGGUGUGAAAUCUCGGAGCUUAACUCCGAAACUGCAUUCGAUACUGCCGUGCUUGAGGACUGGAGAGGAGACUGGAAUUUACGGUGUAGCGGUGGAAUGCGUAGAGAUCCGGAAGAACACCGGUGGCGAAGGCGGCCUGCUGGGCAGUGUUGCUGACACUGAGGCGCGACAGCGUGGGGAGCAAACAGG
rnacentral:rRNA from 1 species